rnacentral:rRNA from 1 species
GACGAACGCUGGCGGCGUGCUUAACACAUGCAAGUCGAACGGUGACGAGGAGCUUGCUCCUCUGAUCAGUGGCGAACGGGUGAGUAACACGUGAGCAACCUGCCCCAGACUCUGGGAUAACAGUUGGAAACAGCUGCUAAUACCGGAUACGAGACGGAGAGGCAUCUCUACCGUCUGGAAAGUUUUUCGGUCUGGGAUGGACUCGCGGCCUAUCAGCUAGUUGGUGAGGUAAUGGCUCACCAAGGCGACGACGGGUAGCCGGCCUGAGAGGGCGACCGGCCACACUGGGACUGAGACACGGCCCAGACUCCUACGGGAGGCAGCAGUGGGGAAUAUUGCACAAUGGGCGAAAGCCUGAUGCAGCGACGCCGCGUGAGGGAUGAAGGCCUUCGGUUGUAAACCUCUUUCUAGCAGGGAAGAAGCGAAAGUGACGGUACCUGCAGAAGAAGCACCGGCUAACUACGUGCCAGCAGCCGCGGUAAU